CGGGGUGUAGCGCAGUUGGCUAGCGCGCUUGGUUUGGGACCAAGAGGCCCCGGGUUCGAGUCCCGGCACCCCGACCA
rnacentral:tRNA from 1 species